UGAAACUAGCAUAUCAUAGCGAGAAAAGAACCAAACAGGGAUUGCCCCAGUAACGGCGAGUGAAGCGGCAACAGCUCAAAUUUGAAAUCUGGCCCCCGGGUCCGAGUUGUAAUUUGUAGAGGAUGCUCUUGGCGAGGUGCCUUCCGAGUUCCCUGGAACGGGACGCCACAGAGGGUGAGAGCCCCGUCUGGUCGGACACCGAGCCUCUGUAGAGCUCCUUCGACGAGUCGAGUAGUUUGGGAAUGCUGCUCAAAAUGGGAGGUAUAUGUCUUCUAAAGCUAAAUACCGGCCAGAGACCGAUAGCGCACAAGUAGAGUGAUCGAAAGAUGAAAAGCACUUUGAAAAGAGGGUUAAAAAGUACGUGAAAUUGUUGAAAGGGAAGCGCCUAUGACCAGACUUGGGCCCGGCGAAUCACCCGGCGUUCUCGCCGGUGCACUUCACCGGGCCCAGGCCAGCAUCGGUUUGGCGCGCGGGAGAAAGGCUCUGGGAAUGUGGCUCCUCCGGGAGUGUUAUAGCCCACCGCGCAAUACCCCGCGCCGGACCGAGGUACGCGCACCGCAAGGAUGCUGGCGUAAUGGUCAUCAGCGACCCGUCUUGAAACACGGACCAAGGAGUCGUCUUCGUAUGCGAGUGUUCGGGUGUCAAACCCCUACGCGUAAUGAAAGUGAACGCAGGUGAGAGCUUCGGCGCAUCAUCGACCGAUCCAGACGUUCUCGGACGGAUUUGAGUAAGAGCAUACGGGGCCGGACCCGAAAGAAGGUGAACUAUGCCUGUAUAGGGUGAAGCCAGAGGAAACUCUGGUGGAGGCUCGCAGCGGUUCUGACGUGCGAAUCGAUCGUCAAAUAUGGGCAUGGGGGCGAAAGACUAAUCGAAACCUUCUAGUAGCUGGGUUUCCGCCGAAGUCCUCCUCCAGAAUA
rnacentral:rRNA from 1 species